AAUGGAUCUUCAAGAAGAAGACCGACAUGGAAGGAAAAGUGCAUACUUAUAAGGCUCGACUGGUUGCGAAGGGUUUUACUCAGACUCAGGGUAUUGAUUAUGAUGAAACCUUCUCACCGGUAGCAAAGAUUAAGUCUAUUAGGGUUAUGCUAGCCAUUGCUGCAUUUCAUGAUUAUGAAAUAUGGCAAAUGGAUGUCAAAACCGCUUUUCUUAAUAGAAAGUUGGCUGAGGAUGUGUACAUGAAUCGGCCAGAGGGUUUUGUCAGUGUGGAGUACCCUAAUAGAGUAUGCAAGCUUGAGAAAUCCAUUUAUGGAUUAAAACAAGCAUCUCGUAGCUGGAAUCUUUGUUUCGAUGAGAAGGUCAAAGAGUUUGGCUUCUAGAGAAGUGAAGAUGAGUCUUGCAUGUAUGUCAGAGCUAGUGGGAGUAUAGUUAGCUUCUUGGUACUGUAUGUGGAUGACAUACUACUUAUAGGAAAUGACAUCCCAACCUUGCAGGAGGUUUUGCUAUGAAGGACCUACGGGAAGCUGCCUAUAUGCUAGGGAUAAGGAUAUUAAGAGAAAGGAGUAAAAGACUAAUUGGGCUUAGUUAGAGUACCAACUUGGAUAAGGUGUUGAAAAGGUUCAACAUGCAGAAUUCCAAGAAAGGAGAUUUACCAGUCCAAAGCAAUGCUAAAACUGAGUAAGACUUAGAGUCCGAGUAUAGAGGCUGAGAUAGUAGAGAUGAGUCGAUUACCGUAUGCUUCCGCUGUGGGCUCGAUCAUGUAUGCUAUGACUUGUACCCGCCCUGAUGUGGCCUUUGCUUUGAGCAUGGUCAGCAGGUAUCAGGGGAACCCUGGCAAGGCUCAUUGGACCGCGGUAAAGAACAUUCUCAAGUACCUGCGGAGGACUAAGGAUUGGAUCCUUACCCUUGGUGGGAGUGAUGACUUGAGAGUAUUAGGGUAUAGUGAUGCUAGUUUNAUUUAAACUUCUGAAUAAUGCUCUGAUCUAUCGUUACUAUCGUUAUCUUAAGAUGCAUGCAAGCACCUAUAUUUAUAAUAAACCCUACUAUACUCACGGAUGGACAGGCCCAUACCGGAGAUACAAAAACGGACUAGCUAACGAGCCCAAUAGACGCAACACUUAAUACAAAACACGACCCAACAAUCUCCCCCUUUGCGUCAAAUUGGAGCGAGACUACUUCUUCUUCUUGCUUGGGCCAGCAGCGGGUGUCUUCUUUACAGUAUCAAACAGACGUGUGAUAAGAGCGAGAAUAGUCUGUCUGAACCGAAUGUACCAUUGUAUCAUGUCAUCGAAGUACUUGACAUCAUCCGCUGAGUUUUGCUUGCAUCUGUGGAUGAUCCCCAAAACAUGCUCUAAGCAGGUAGUAGUGUACAGAUGUUUGUCAGCCAAGGCAAAGAGACAUUUCUAUCCUUCGUUUCUGGUGAACAUGACAUAAUUCCUUCUUGAAUCAAUUCUGCCCAUCUGCAUUUGGUUCAGAUCACUGGCCGAGCCAACAGGAGAGAUUUUUGGUUUCUUCUUAAAUACACUUGCUAUCUCCUGAUCCAUCAGUGCAACUUCCAUGAUGUAGCACACCAGCAUCCUCUUGAGAUGGUCGAUGAUCGGACCAUAUUCAGCUUCGUUGGUGAGAAGGAUGUUGUGCGAUAUUAUCCAAUCAUGGGGAUUGAGAUUCGGAAGAUCUGCAAGGGAAAUGGCAUGCUCGGUUUUGGCAGAUCCUCGAAGUACCUUGAACCGAACGUUAAUGAAGUUCCCUUCAGUAUACGGCUUCAAGACCCGAACGUUGAUAAUCUUCUGAGCGCUCCAAGUUUGAUACUGAGGUUGAGCAGCCUUCAGAUAGAAAUCAAUUAAGUCCCGAUCAACCUAUGGAUGAGGAUGAGGGAACUCUGCAACGUUGGAGAAGGUAUGAAAGAUGAACGCCUUUCGGGUCAGUGGCAUGUCAAACUGAGAGUCGACAGUAUUGGAACAGUCAAAAUAAAUUAUUGGUUCCAGCCACAAGAUACUCGGUGUGUCGAUGGCUUCUUUUAUCAUCCUCUCGAGAGUCCAAGCAGUAAAAAGAGUUUUCCUACUCUCAAGAAGGUCGUGGGCUUCCUUCUGUUUUCGUUCAGCUUCUUCAGCCUCUUUUGCCACACGAGCACUGACAUCAGCCUCAUUGCGUCGACUUCUGCGCUUUAACAAGUCGGCAAUGGUUUCUUUGUCUUCUUCCUCAGCAAUAUUUUUGCCUUUGUCUUUCACACCCGAUCCGGAGGCUUGGCCUACUGGAGGAGGUUCGGUAGUGUGAGUUGCCUUUGAGGAAUGAGGUGGUCGGGAAAUAGACUCCUUUUCUCCCCCUUGUUUCGGAAUGGACACGAAAUCAAGUAGCCCUUCGAUUUUGCUUAACAGGGCAAGGGCGGGAGUGAGCUUUUCUGCAAGGGCACGCCUCACAGAAUAGUUAAGGAUAGGAUCAUGUGCUUCGAGGAUGUUUGAGAUGUCUGAGUGGACAUCCGAAACACACAUCUUUAUCACCUCUCUUUUGGACCGAAGAGAUUCAAUCUCCUGUUGAGACUGGGAGAGUUGAACACUCUUGACCUUCAGAGCAAUGGUCUUCUUGGAAAGAACAUCCAUAAGUGAGUUCUCAGCAGCCAAAUCUUCUUGGAACUUUGAGAGACGCUCGUCUAUGGUUGUGCGAAAGGCUGAGUUGUCGUCGGAAAGCGUUUAACAGAAUGAAGCAAACGACUUCAACUCAGUUGAGACAGACGUUGUCAACUGUUGAACAAUUGGUUCCAACGUUGUCUUUGCAGCAUUUGCACUCUCCUGUAAAGACUUUAAUAGGAUAGAGGCAUCAAAAAAUAGUUUAUCGACUUUUUCGGUCGCAACCUGACAGGCUUUUGUUGAGGCGUCAAUGGCGGAGGUUGCAGAAGCAAUGGAAUCUUGCUGAGCCUUAGAGAAAGCGUCAACAAUCUUCUGAACUACAUCUUCAGAAAGGAAUGACUGAGAGGUGGAAGAGAAGGCAAUGAGCAAAUCAACUUUGUCAUGGAGCUCCUUGAGAUGUCGUUUUGUAACGGGAGCAUCGUCAUCGUCAUCACUCUGAAUUUGAAACGGACUAUAGUAGACCGAGUCAAACGUCAUAUUUUCCCCGCCAAGGAAUGGUUCGUCACCCUCUGAAACAUGAUCAGGAGAAGGUGGUGGUGGUGAAGCUGGUGGAACUGAAGUAUGGGUAGGUUCUGGUUGGGUUGUUUCGGGUAUAGGGGUAGGUUCGGAUGCGUUUGUGGUUUCGGGUGCAUCAGUAUGAACCCCCUAAUCAGAUACGUUGGCUCUAACAUCUGCAGUGGAUGUUGUAGUUGCUUCGGUGAAUAUUGGUGUUGGUAUUGGGAUUGAAGUGGGUGGUAUUGAAGUAGUGGAAGUUAUGGGGGGAACAAAAAUAGGAAUGGUUCUAGGUGGGGAAUUAAUGGGAGAAGUAGAGACAUUAACUUCUGGGGUAGGAGAUCUGGGUGUAGUGUUGCCUCGUGGAGAGUCUUCAGAAUCCGAACUCUCACCCUCAGACUCGCUUGAGGAGGAAGCGAUGAUCAGCUUUCGCUUCGGUUGAGUUUUUUGGCGUUUUGGCUGUGGAGACUGAGCAGCCUUGAUUGGUUUCCUCUUCUUUGGAGAAGGGCCUUUAGCCCCUUUCACCACCUGUUUCCCUUUUUCAGCCUUCUUGCCUCUUGGAGCAGGCUUGUCGGCAUCAUGAAUAGACUUCAACAUCUCCGGUGUGAGAUCCCUCGGACCAGAACGCUUGAAUCCUUUAUACGUGUGGAUAAUCCGGCUAUCAGCAGGAACAUCGCCAUACAUGGUUUCCGGAAUCGAACCGUUGAAUGGAAACUUGGAAGCGUCUGAGAUAAUGAUCUUCGUGGUAUGGAAUGUACCAAUCGAAGACAUUGGAGCACCAGCGACAAUAGGGAUGUGGUACCUAUCCAUCACCCAUUUCGUGACCAAAGUCCAGAACCUGGCGUAAGAAAUUUCAGAAUGCUUGGAUGUAGAGGAGAGACUCUGAAUGAGUUGUUGCCACAAAAUGGACCCGUAAUCCAUGUUGAUGCCAUUGUAGACACCAUACAUUAUUGACAAGAACAACCGACUAGCGCCAUCAGAUCCAACGCUUCGUUCAGAUAACCCUUUGAAUAAAACAGUGAACAUCCCGUUCCACUAUGGCGGUAGGCACGACUUCUUGAACUUGGCGACUGAAGAAAGCACCUCCGUAUAGCCCAUGUUAUAAAACAUGUUGAACAAAUGCCCCAUGGGAAUCAUUUCAGGGUUAACCCUCGAGGAAUCAGGUUCAAACCCUAACAGCAAGCAAAAUCUUUGCUUUGAAAUCGAGGCCUUGUGCUGAAAAAUGUCAAAGAAGAUUCUAUCCACGACCUUGUCGUAGUGAGCAGUCGCAAAGAUCUGCGACAAGAACUCCAUCGGAACGGAUUCUGCUCUUGUAAGUGCAGGAGCAAUCGGCGAAUACUUCAAGCACUCAAUAAUAGGGAACAUGAAGGCAUCGUAAACAUGAGGGGAUAAAUCGAUGAUUAGGCUUUGUUGUGGGCGAAUGGGCAGAAUGUGGGAUGUUGCGUGAACAGAAGAUGAGUCUGCCAUUGCUUGAAGAAAGUGGAGAAGAUGAUGAACAGUUAAGGUUCAGGGAAUUCUUGCGCUCUGGGAAUUUUAAUUGCAGUAAAGAGGUAAACGGUAGAGGAUGUUGCCUUUUAUACUGUGGGGUAAGGAGAGAGAAAGAUCUUCCCAAAUCUUCUAUCGAAAAACAAAGAGUUUUCCGGAGUUGACUGAUGCAUGACAGUUGGGGUAGCCGAUGAUCACGCAUGAGAGAGAGUGUCAGAUCCCAAAGAACACGCCUCCCAUAAAGCGCCGUUUGGAUAUGAACCAUUUCAGAUUCACACGCGCCUUUCUUGCGUCGUUUAGAGAUUAAACGUUUCCGAUUCGCACGCUUUCCCUUUUAGCGCCGUUUGAAAUCAAAUCGAUUAGACUCCCGCCUGAGUCAGCAUGUCUUCAUCUUAUCCCUUUAAAUGGUAACGACAUCUUUUGAAAAAUAUCGCCACGUGGAUUAAAAUCAACCACAUCCUUUAAUCGACUGCCAAUCCAAGAAAAAAUACCUUGUAAUUAAUAGAACCUGAAUUUUGGAAAAUCAAAGAUUUUCAUGCUAAGGGUGUAAAAAAAAAGAAAUAAAGCAAUAUUUUUGGGAAAAAUGUGAUGUCAAUAAAGACACGAACCAGAUGAUCCCGGGCAUGAAUCUCUUCCUUCAAAGUCAAGAGAGACCUUAAAGUGUUUGUGUGGUUUCCCGUUGAAUAACGAUCAAACACUUAUCAAGAAGUGUUGAAAGGCUUCUUUUAAUUUAGGCUUAUUAGGGUGGCUUUCGCUUCGAUUCAACAUUCCUAAUCUUGAUAUAAGAUAGAAAGUGAACGAAGUACUUGUGAGACCGGUGUAGUCUGUUGAACAAGUAGGUUUGGAAUAAUUUAACCUGACUAGGACAUAAAAAAAAACCUCAACAAAAAUUUAAAAAUGGAUCCCAAGGGAAGAAAUGUUAUGGGUGUUAACAAUUUCAUAGGAAUCACACAAAAGAGAAUUUGAGAUUUCAAGGAGAUACAUCCGUCAAUUCAAUGGUGAAAACUAGAGCAAAUUAAUCGUUCACCGUCAAUUCGUAUUGGGUAUUGAAUUUUGGGUUUCACUUAGCUCGUAGUGACACGAAAUUAAGAUCAUAAACACAGAACUUGUGUANAUUUAGAUGGUGUAAGAAAACAAAGUACCUCUGCUGUGAAAAACUGGACCAAGCAGAAAACUCUUAUCUCAUGUGAGAAGAGAGUUAGGUAGCUCAUGAUUAGAAUAAAUAAGAAAGCCUAAUUGGGAAGACAAUGUUUGUUUAUACCAAGUCAGUAAGGCCUAUUAUUCAGAAUCAAGUGAGGCUUUGGACACAUAUAACAGCAUGAUUCUAGGGACACUUAGCUAAUUCAAUAAUUUCCCCAUAAACGAACACACACAAAAAAUUAAAGCCAAAAAGAAAAUAAAGAACAAAAUAUUUUUGGAGUUUUUGAAUUUAUAAAAGAAAUAAUUUUGGAGUUUUUGAUAAAAAAGAAAUAAAAAAACAGAUAAAAAAAAUUGGAAUUUUUGAGAAAAGAAAAAAAAAGAGGAAUGAAAAUAAAAAAAAUUAAAAAAAAACUUUGGAACCGAACCCGAGCGUUCGGUUUAUUUCGGUUGUUAAAAACUUUGGAACCGAACCCGAGCGUUCGAUCUAUCUCGGGUAAGAAAAAUUUUGGAACCGAACACGAACGUUCGGUCUAUUUCGGUUACCAAAGAAAAUAGAUUUUCAANNNNNNNNNNNNNNNNNNNNNNNNNNNNNNNNNNNNNNNNNNNNNNNNNNNNNNNNNNNNNNNNNNNNNNNNNNNNNNNNNNNNNNNNNNNNNNNNNNNNAGUGGGACCGAACCUAGAUCUUUGGUCUCUUUUGCUCUCGGAACCCAACUUCUGCUUUCGGUAGAUAGUGUUUUCUAAACCGAACCUUUGCUUUCGGUUGUCAAAUUUUUCAGAGCCGAACGUAUCCUUUCGGUUGUUUUGACCUUCAUAACUGAACCUCUCUCUUCGGUUGUUAUGACUUUCUUGUGACCUAACAGUGUUUUUCUCUGACUUUAAAUUUCUGUCAUGAUAAGAGAAAUGGGCAUUUUGAGAUUGCCAGAACUGUUUUCUUUCAGAGAGAUUCUUCUUGUAUCUCUGAUUCCUUUGCUGUUUCUGAUUUCUCACCUGCUUCGGCUGACGAUGGAUAUUCGCUUUUUGUUUUUGCUUUCGGUCAGCAGGUUCACUUUGAACUGACGAAGUUUCGCUUGAAGGAGUGACUUCUUUUGCAGGAACUCCUUUUUCUUCAGGAACAUCUUUUGUACCACUAGUACUUGGCACGUCGAAGCUAUCAGGCUUGUUCAAAGGCUCUGGCACAUAUCUGCCUUUGGUUUUCCAUGAAGUCCUUUCUGACAGACCAACUGUUUCGUCAGCAUUGUCGAUAGGAGCAGACCAGAAGAACUCAUCACAACCAUCAGCAUUGUCUUCGUUUACAAUAGCUGUGAGUUCGGCUGUCUGAUGUUCUAUUACGCCUUUGACUUUAUACACCUGAUUUGGAGUUGUUCUCACCUUUUGGUAUACAACAUCCUUUUCUUCAAGAAUUGGGGACUUUUGUUGGGACAAACGAGCAAACUCCACAGAAUUUUAUGAAAUAAGAUUUUUGUGGUUUUUGGGUUCGCUCUUGACAAACUCUGAACAGUCAACUGUGUCUUCAACAGAAAUUUCACUCAUAUCAUCGUCCUCAUUGAGCUCAGAUGCAUUUUCAACAUCAAUUUUAUUUUCUGAGCUCAGGUUGGCAUUCAAUGAGUCAAACUUUUGUAUGGUUUCGGUUCUUAGUUUUAGUUUAUCAUUUUCAUCCAAAAGAUUUUUCAGCAUGUCUUUAUGGUCCUUGGACUUUAUGAAAGAUUCGAUUUUGUCUAGACCAUACAUAUAUGUCGGAUUAACAUCCUCAGACGAAACAACACUUUCACAGUUAUAUGCUUCAGCGUCAAUUUCAUCCUCCUUAAACUCAAGGAAGGGCAAAAUCAUGCGAUGAAUUUUCUGCCCUAUUUCACAGUUUAAAUGAAGUUGAGUGAUAUUAGUGUAAAGACGCUUAGCAAUUAAACAAAAGACAUUUCUCUGUUUUAAAAGUUUUAAAUUGUCUCUUUGUAAAUAAAUGUUUUCAUCCUUGGAUUUGAUUAACUCCGACUCCUUUAGCUCGAUCCACAUCCUUCGUUCCUCACUCUUUGAAGAUACCCUGCUUAUUUGGUCAGUUAGGUUAGAAUUGGUGACUCGUGUUUGAGUUAAACUGCUGUCUAGAUGAGAGAUUCUUGAAUUGACAUUUUUUAAUUCCUUUUCAUAUGAACUUUGUGGAACUUUGAAUGAAACAAAAACUGAUUGUACCUUCUUGAUUAAUUCAUCAAGCUUGUUAAACUGCACGCUGAGAGGUUUUGCUGUGAAGCACAAGUCCUCUCGUUCCUUUGCGUCUUCAUUCCCACCAUUUGUAUUGUAUCCCCUCAUCUGAGACACGUCUGACACCAUUAAACAUGUUCCACCACUCCCUUCACUUUUUGCAACAUAUGCCUUUCCAUGAGAUGGCUUUUUGACUUCAUCGUCCUCAGAAUCGGUUGACCAGACCUCCACGCCACCAAAUUCAUCAUCCGCUACCGAACCCUGCACAAUUAAAGCAUUCAUAGAGGGGUUAGCAGUGGAUUUCUUUCUUUUGAUUUCUUCCAGCUUUUUCAACAGCACUGUUUCUUCGUCUUUUUCUUCAUCCUUUUCUGCCAUUUUCUUGAGAACACAAUCUUUGGCAUAGUGGUUCUUUCCUCCACAAUAAUAGCAGCUCACACCCGAAUCUCCUACAGCUUUUGGUUCCUUCUUCGGUUCUUCUGCUUUCGGUUCUUCCCUAACCUUUUCAGAACUGUAACUUCCCUGCCAGUUUUGGUUCUUAUUUGCAGGGAACCUUUUCUUGAUGAACCUCUUUGGGUUUGAGACCAUCAUUGCAUAGUCUUCAGAGGUAAGGUCAUAAUCCUCUAGGUUGAGGUCUUCAUCUUCCAUCACAGCUUUGCUUUUGGACAGAAGGGCCAAUGAUCCCAAGCUUGAAACCACAUUUUUCUCCUGUAACACAAUCUUUUCUUGAGAUUUCAAAAUCCCUACCAGUUUCGCCAAAGAGUAAGAUUUGAAUUGCUCAUGCGCUUUAACAGUGGACACAACCGCUCUCCACUCAGAUCUGAGACCGUUUAAAAAUGUAACCUUUUGUUCAAUUAACUUCCUUUCAAUAUCAUGUUUAAUCAUCUUACUAAGAAGAUGAUUGAAGCGAUCGAACGUCUGAGUCACAGUUUCUUCAGGACUCUGCUUGAAUUCACCAAAUUCGGACAAAAGCAAGGUUUGAAUGGAAUGCUCGAGAUCUUCGUCCGUAGAAUAUAACUCUCGCAGCCUAUCCCAUAUUUCUUUGGCAGUGCUACAUGAACUCACUAGCCUGAAAGUGUCAGAUUGAAGAGCGAAUCUGAUUAGUCUCAAUGCUUUAAUAUUGCACUGAAAUUUAUCUUUUUCGUCUUGAGCAAUAUCUUUAAUGUCUUUCAAAAGAUCAAUAUACUCCUUCUGAGUUUUAAUAAUUCUUGAAGUUGCUGAAUGAGUGAAUGGUCCGGAAACGAUUGCUUCCCAGAUGAGAUAUCCAUUGUCCUCAGACCCGAUGACAUAAUCUUCAAAGGGAUGUGUCCAGACCUCGUAAUCUUGGGUGUAAAGGAUGGGAAUCUUUGUCGUUGAUCCAAUGCUGUUUGAGAUGUUGAUGGGAUUGGAUUGUGACUCGUCCAUGCUUGAUCGAAUAACCUGUUUAAAAGAUCAGACUUGUAAUAUAUUAAAUUAGGGCAACACAAAUAAAUGUUGAGUUACGUCAAUUAUGGGAUGACGGCUCAAUAAAUAUCAGUAAAUGCGGAAUAACCCUAAUCGCAACCUUUUUCACAGAAAAGAAGUGUAUGAAUUACACAGCCUCCUGCUCUGAUACCAAUUGAUAAGUUAUUAAAUAAACUUGAAGAUCGAUUAGAUCUUUGUAACAGGUAUUACGAUGAACACAAAACAGUAAAUAAGACAAGUAUGGAUCAAAAUAUGUCGAAUGAUUAAUUCAAACAAUCCUCAGCAGAGCUCGACUAAGAACUUCCGCUGUAGAGGAUUUAGGGUUACAAGAACGAUAAUAAACUUCUGAAUUAUUCUCUGAUUAAUCGUUUCUAUCGUUUUAAUCGUUUUUUUUUUAAGAUGCAUGCAAGCACCUAUAUUUAUAAUAAACCCUAUUAAAGUCACGGAUGGACAGGCCCAUACCGGAGAUACAAAAACGGACUAGCUAACGAGCCCAAUAGACGCAACACUAAAUACAAAACACGACCCAACACCCACCCUGAUGUGGCCUUUGCUUUGAGCAUGGUCAGCAGAUAUCAGGGGAACCCUGGCAAGGCUCAUUGGACCGCUGUAAAGAACAUUCUUAAGUACCCGCGGAGGACUAAGGAUUGGAUCCUUACCCUUGGUGGGAGUGAUGACUUGAGAGUAUUAGGGUAUAGUGAUGCUAGUUUUCAGACUGAUAGGGAUAACUUCCGCUCUCAGUCGGGUUGGGUCUUUACCUUA
rnacentral:lncRNA from 1 species